GCUGAAGCCAUUCCCUGGGUCACCUCCGAAGGCACCUUAUUCCUCCCAUGGAGGAACGUGCUGCUCCUCCAAGGCCCUCAGAAGAUGGAGCCUGAAAUUAGCUUGUGCUAAUGAUACAGAGCUGACUGGAAAACUUUGGCGGAGGGCUGGGAGGAGGGCUGUAUAAACCCCGCGCAGCGGUGACACAGCAGGUGCAAGUCAUUAGUGUAGCAAUGAGCUCAGUGCAGAGUUUGGUUUGUCAGGUUUCUCUGACAGACUGUAAAUACUCACACCUUGCUCCUAGAACAGAUGAGAAGAAAGUACUGGCACCAAGUGUACUGCAAAUCCAGUAACUAGUGUGCUGCUAUUGUGGAUAUUUGAAGUUAAUCACAGCUGAUGGAAAGUGCUUCAUGCAGCACACUGAAGGCAUAUUAAAGAUUAUUAAGCAUUCAGGGAUGGCUGAAGUGCUACAGUAAUUGCAGAAGAAGUGCAAGAAGCAAAGGG